rnacentral:lncRNA from 1 species
GUUUUAAUAUUACAUUUAUAUUCAUAUAAGAUAUUACAAAUAAACGUUUUUUCAAACAGACUUCUUCCUGCUAUUCUUUUGUUUCAAAAUAUCUAAUUUCAAAAUAUCUAUAAACAUCUACAUAAGAAUACAAAGCCAGAAAACAGACAGGAUAUCUGACUGUUCAAUAAAAAAUAAAUAUUAUAAUAAUUAAAAAUUAUCUAAUUCAACCAAUAAAAGUCGCUUCUUACACAGAUCUGUCCUUAGUUUUAAUUAUAUAACAAAGCUUUGCCAAAGUGUAUGAAGGCAGUACAUAAAUAAUAAAGAAAACAAACUUAUAACCAGUAAUAUAACAAUUUUUAUGCAAAUUUUACUCCAUUAAAAUUGGGCCUCUUAUAAAACAUAGUCAUCUACUAUUUAGUAGUAUUAAUCUGUUAACAUUACACCUACUGAUCUUGAGAGUAAAUGGAAGACUUCUUUUUAACAACUACAAAAAUUAAAAAAAUAUAUCUAGAUAUACUGUAAUAACAACAUUAUAAUAAAACAGAAAACAGCAAAAUAUUGGAAAGUAUGGUAAAACUGAGAUUGUCAUUCUUCCAAAUAAUUUGAUCAUUUGUUACAUAGAUUUCAUGAAUUCUUUCCAUUUUUUGUUAAGUUCACAAGUUUAAAUGAAGCAUUACAUUCAGAGAAGUACAGAUAAUGGUUUAGGUUGUCAAGUAUUUUUUUACAUUAUAAAUACAUUGUUGCUAAAACAGUCAACCAUCUGACUGAUGUUAUAAAAAAUAAAAGCGAAAUAAUUUCAAAUUUUGAAUGAUAUUUUUCUAAUUGGUACCUUUUUUUGGUCUUUGGAAAACUUAACUUUUCACUACCAGGGGAAAUUAAUAGAAUUUAAGAAGUACUUUAUAAACAAAUCAUCUUGUCUUUUCAUUCUAAGAUAUUUUGAGGAUUUUAUGGUGAUAAGCUUCUUCGUAGAUUUUAUAUAUGUCUUUAAUCCAACCGAUCUUACUUCCUUUUUAUGCUGUGUUGAUUCCCAAAAUAUGCUCAUUAUAAGUCACUGAUAAUACCCCUGAUACAGACAUGGGGUAAUUGAAAUAUGUAAUUGUAAUUGACUGU